CAGCAGUAGCCACGGGAAUACAGAGGGUGCGAGCGUUAAUCGGAUUUACUGGGCGUAAAGCGUGCGUAGGCGGCUUCUUAAGUCGGAUGUGAAAUCCCUGAGCUUAACUUAGGAAUUGCAUUCGAUACUGGGAAGCUAGAGUAUGGGAGAGGAUGGUAGAAUUCCAGGUGUAGCGGUGAAAUGCGUAGAGAUCUGGAGGAAUACCGAUGGCGAAGGCAGCCAUCUGGCCUAAUACUGACGCUGAGGUACGAAAGCAUGGGGAGCAAACAGGAUUAGAUACCCGUGUAGUCCCUGUCUCUUAUAC
rnacentral:rRNA from 1 species